GUUGCCUCGCCAGGCGCCAAAGUGCUGAUAGUGCAGGUAGGCUCCCUUGAUGCGACUACUGCAUUGUGAGCACUUGCAGCGCCUGGGAGGUCAU
ensembl:miRNA pma-mir-20b pma-mir-20b